UACGGGGGGGGGCAAGCGUUGUUCGGAAUUACUGGGCGUAAAGCGCGUGUAGGCGGCUCUUCAAGUCGAGUGUGAAAGCUCCAGGCUUAACCUGGGAAUUGCGCUCGAUACUGUUGAGCUAGAGUGCAGAAGGGGCAACUGGAAUUCUCGGUGUAGCGGUGAAAUGCGUAGAUAUCGAGAGGAACACCUGCGGCGAAGGCGGGUUGCUGGGCUGACACUGACGCUGAGGCGCGAAAGCUAGGGGAGCGAACGGG
rnacentral:rRNA from 1 species